AUGAAAGAGCUUCAGCUCCUUCCCCUUUUCACAAAUGAAACAUGUUGGGGAACUAAAAGAGGGGAGUAAGGAAGAACUCUAAACACUCACUUCAAUUUUCAUUCCACCAUAAUUUUCAAUCCAGAUCUCCGAUCGUCGCACCGUUUACAGCCAUGCGAUCACCGCAUCGAGCUCUAUAAAACCCAUUGAACAAUUUGGAAGAAUCGAAUUAGCUUUGUGGAGUUGUCGGGUCUUUUCCCAAAUUUCCAUUGGUAAGGACUUUGGAGGCUGGUUUUCUGUUUGGUGAGUAUGUGGUGCUUUGGGCGUUGGUAACAGUGAUAUUUGUGGCGUUCCAAGUUUAGGGAGGAAUCGGCUAAGAUGGAGUCUCUUCUUCUUCUUCACCACCGCAAUGAAAACCGGC